GCUAAAUAAACGGCUGCAAGCGGUCCUGCACACUUUAAAUUAACACCUACAGCUGCUAACUAUACACGCUAACUUUUGUCUUUGAAAAUUGUUGUUACUGAAUCAUAAAGCUUAUCAGCUAGUUUACAGUGGAAGGAUCUGUUUCUCAUCACUGGCUAUAAAAUUCAGAUAACAAUCUAGCACCAGGAUCAGCAGUGCUUAGCAUAAACUAAGUCAGAUACAGGCUAGCUAAUUUAGCUAACGUCGGUAGCCUCGAACCCCAGCCAUUAUUAGUUUGCCUCAAACUCUGACCGGCCAUACUGCUAGCCGCAGUGAACAACGCAGUCUUGUGUUUUAUUAAGAAAAAACAUGCUGAAAAAACAUGUCAACCAUAACAGCCACGGAAACACAUUAGACUAUGUUAAUACUAUCGAGGUAAAUUACAUACUAGCAAGGUUGUUGCUUGAAUGCAGGGCCAGGCAUACAUAGAUUAGACAAUGGAGAUACUCCAAAAACAUAAUGUUCAAAAUCCUGCUAGUUGUCGAUUUUUGGACUGUUUUGGACAAGCUACCUAAAUGUGACUAAUAGGCUAGUACUGAAGCAGGACAUGUUUUUUGUUGUUGUAUUUAAUUAAGCUAAACAACAGCUGAAGGUAGGCAACUUCUUCAGCCUAACUGGCUGUCAUUUCAAUGCUAGCGUUAGCCGUGCUACCUCUCGAUUAGCAUGAAGACACUGAAAAGCUCACAAAGCCAAUUUGGCCAGUGACAACCUUGUAAAACCUUUGCUAACAUCUACAACAUAUCAACUUUCGAACAGAAUAUACUUUAAUGUGCAUGUUCACUUCGUUUUCAGAAUAUUUACAUCCCAUUGAAGCCUAUUAGGGUAAAAUAACACCUUCCGGCAUAUACCCAGUACGAUAUAGUACUGCUUCAAAGGAAUAGGGUUCCUAUUCCUUCGGCUUUAUUUUCACACAAUUGUGUCUUGCAGAAGGGAACCAUAAAGAGGAGCUUGGAGUGGGCAAGGGGUGGCUGAUAAAGCAGCAGAGAAGACCUGAUUCAACAAGUAUCACGCUUAACUCUGGUGAUUCUCAUCUGGUUGGCAUGCACAACACUGCAAGGGAUGACUUACUCAUUGUCAUUACCAACAUCAACAGACGAGAGUGGACUCCAUGGAGGGGAGGCCACAUAUUGUGGUGAAGGUGGACGAUAAGCCUCAGGGAAUGGUGGAGGGAAGGCCGCAGGAAGUGGUAUAGGUGGAGGGAAGGCCACAGGAAGUUGCACUGGUGGAG
rnacentral:lncRNA from 1 species